GAGCGCAGCGGCGUCCGAGGCAACAAGAUGGCAGCUGCGGAGCCGUCUCCGCGGCGCGUGGGCUUCGUGGGCGCGGGCCGCAUGGCGGGGGCCAUCGCGCAGGGCCUCAUCAGAGCAGCCAUACUUCAGGGUCCAGAAGAGUCAAGAUCAAUCGGGAAAUAGCUUACUAUGAGUCUCAGGAGUCUUCCCUGUGAAACCUGGCAGUACCGCAUGCCUCCCAGAGCUGUACAGGAAAAGUGGAAGCUCAGCACAUACUGGCCAGUGCACCAACAGACAGGAACCUAUGUCACUUUCAAGCUCUGGGUUGCCGGACCACGCACUCCAACCAGGAGGUGCUGCAGAGCUGCCUGCUCGUCAUCUUUGCCACCAAGCCUCAUGUGCUGCCAGCUGUCCUGGCAGAGGUGGCUCCUGUGGUCACCACUGAACACAUCUUGGUGUCCGUGGCUGCUGGGGUGUCUCUGAGCACCCUGGAGGAGCUGCUGCCCCCAAACACACGGGUGCUGCGGGUCUUGCCCAACCUGCCCUGUGUGGUCCAGGAAGGGGCCAUAGUGAUGGCGCGGGGCCGCCACGUGGGGAGCAGCGAGACCAAGCUCCUGCAGCAUCUGCUGGAGGCCUGUGGGCGGUGUGAGGAGGUGCCUGAAGCCUACGUCGACAUCCACACUGGCCUCAGUGGCAGUGGCGUGGCCUUCGUGUGUGCAUUCUCCGAGGCCCUGGCUGAAGGAGCCGUCAAGAUGGGCAUGCCCAGCAGCCUGGCCCACCGCAUCGCUGCCCAGACCCUGCUGGGGACGGCCAAGAUGCUGCUGCACGAGGGCCAACACCCAGCCCAGCUGCGCUCAGACGUGUGCACCCCGGGUGGCACCACCAUCUAUGGACUCCACGCCCUGGAGCAGGGCGGGCUGCGAGCAGCCACCAUGAGCGCCGUGGAGGCUGCCACCUGCCGGGCCAAGGAGCUCAGCAGAAAGUAGGCUGGGCUCUGGCCAUCCUUUCCUGCCUCUGUGCCCCUGCCUCUCCCUGUGUCCCUUCCCCUGAGGACUGCGGCUCCCUCCCUCCUGCAUGAGGGUCUCCUACUGCUCCUUCUCCCCUUGCACAGGGAAAUGCAGGGGGCAGGACUUGGGAGGUUCCAGCAGGCGGGGGAGCCCCGACCAGUGGGGACACUCCUCCCUCCCCAGUGAGCAGAAGGCACCGUGGUGGUGGCUCUGCCCCUUGCUGCAGUGAGCCCACCUUGCUGCAACAUUGGUUCUGAGGGGCCCAAGAGAUGGCGUCUUGGUCAUUUGCCCGCAUGGUUGGGCAGUUGGUUGAGGCCAUGAACAGAACUUACGGUAACAGGCACGGCUGGCCCAAUGCCUGGUCUGGAGCUGGAGCUUGCCUUUGGCUUUCCAGGUGGCUCCGUGCAGCUACAGCCAGGCCGGCUGCCUCAUCUCAGCUCUAGGGGGCACGAGCCAUAUGGGGUCUGCACAAGAGACCCUCUCCCCUGCAGUAAAGCCAGGGGCCCUGGCCUGAUGGGGCCCCCAUGGGGAGCUGGAGCCUGCCCUGCAGCCUGGAGAAGAGGGUGGCUGUGGUGGGCGUGCUCAUCCCCUGCUAAGGAGCAGGAGCUGCUGGGCCAGGUCUGCGGCAGUGCUGGGGUGGCACCAGGUGGGCAGUGGUAGGUGGGGUGGCUUGAGGUCUGGGAGGGUGGCCCUGGCCAGCCAGGACACAUGCAGACCCCUGGCUUUAGUCUGGAUACAGGCUCCCUCUUUCCUCCCAAUCCUAAGCUCCUGACAAGUGGCCAGGUGGCUCUGGGCCCUCCUGCCCCGUGCCUAGGUCAGGGGUCCUGGAAUACCCCGUAGCUCUGGCACCACCACACUGGCCUCUGAUGGCAAGACUUGGCCCCUCCACCUGUCCCUAACGGACGGCAGGUCAGGAAAGCCAGGACUCAGGGGAGAAGCAAACCCCCAGGAUUGAAGGCUAGGGUUCUAGGGCCUUUGGGUGGGGAGGGCCCGGGCCGGACAGCCUCAGCUCCGUCCCCUGCCCCACAAGAUUCACCUGGGCCUCCAGUCCCACGCUGGCCCCAACUGCUGCAGCUCUCGGCUUCCGCCCAACAGCCUCUGGAGGUGAGGCGGGAGCAUGCCCUCAGCGAGGCUGGGCGGCGGGUCCUGCUGUGCCAUCUCCCUGUGCGCCUGAGCAGAUCAAUCCACCAGUGCAAAACAGGGCUAACGGCACCUGCAGGACAGCAGCACGCUCCAUCCCUCAUGCUCAGCUGCCUCUGCGGCCACGGACUUCUGCCCUUCAUCUGCUCUCUCUUACUCUCCUGAGCCUAGCCCGUCCGUAAGCUCCCUCCCCUGCCUGGUUCCCAGGGCAGGCUGACUCAGUUGACUGCUUGGUCCAAGCCUGGCCCUGGCACUUGUCAGGGUCAGCCUAAGGAGAUGGGAAUAAAGAGGCCAGAGAGCACCAAGUGAGCUCAUGUUUCACCAGAGGUGGAUAAAACCAAGUUCUGGGCUGGGCCCAGUGGCUCACAUCUGUAAUUCCAGCACUUUGGGAGGCCGAGGCGGGCAGAUCACAAAGUCAGGAGUUUGAGACCAACCUGACCAACAUGGAGAAACCCCAUCUCUACUAAAAAUACAAAAUUAGCUGGAUGUGGUGGUGCGUGCCUGUAAUCCCAGCUACUUGGGAGGCUGAGGCAGGAGAAUUGCUUGAAUCCAGGAGGCGGAGAUUGCAGAGAGCCAAGAUCAUGCCACUGCACUCCAGCCUGGGUGACAGCAAGACUCUGUCUUGGAAAAAAAAAAAAAGAAGGUCCAAUGCCUGCCCCAUAAGUUGAGGCCUGGAACCUUGGUCAAGCACAGGUGUCAGCCGAAGGGGGUGCUGGCACUGUGGACAGCAGAGGUCUCCCCAUGCCUGCUACAGGCCUCUACAUCACCUGGGGGCUUUGUAGGGCAUGGAAUUGCAGUUUCCCCUGCACGCUGUCACCCCAGGGGACUGUAUGCCAAGCCUGGGCAGGCCUGGGAGCCUGGGGUCUGGUGCAGGCGGCCCCCUGAAGGAAGGUGGACAGCCCUUCUGACGGCCACCUGCAUUCACACCAAGCCCAUCUGCAAGGAGAAAUCAUUGACUUUGCACCAACACCUGUCUCCCCCUGGGACCUCUGACAAGCCCUGGGCACUAGGUGAGCUCAGCUCGGGAGGUGGAGAUCCCAAGCCAGCCACUCCUGGCCCAGCUGGUGAGGGCCUGUGACAAAGACACGGGCUCAGUUCUCGGCACGGCAGGGAGCGUUGUGGUGAGCCAGGCCUCCCCUGUGCCUUCUACUUCCAGGUGAAAACUGUUCUUCAAGACAGAAAACGAUGGAUAUGAUUACGGUAUCUUUGAUCAAUGUUCCACUUUUAUGCCCUAUGCCCCAACUGUUAAUCUAGGGGGUAUUCCUGAUCCAAGCGUUGGAUCAAGAGUUUAAAAAUAAGACUUCAAAACAGGGAUGCUCAUGAAGUGGA